UGGCUGUCGUCAGCUCGUGUCGUGAGAUGUUGGGUUAAGUCCCGCAACGAGCGCAACCCUUAUCCUAUGUUGCCAGCACGUAAUGGUGGGAACUCAUGGGAGACUGCCGUGGAUAACACGGAGGAAGGUGGGGAUGACGUCAAGUCAUCAUGCCCCUUAUGUCUUGGGCUACACACGUACUACAAUGGGCUUUAAUAGAGGGUAGCGAAGCCGCGAGGUGGAGCCAAACCCAAAAACAAGCUCUCAGUUCGGAUUGCAGGCUGCAACUCGCCUGCAUGAAGGCGGAAUCGCUAGUAAUCGCAGAUCAGCAUGCGCCGGUGAAUACGUUCCCGGGUCUUGUACACACGCAU
rnacentral:rRNA from 1 species